AUACGAAGGUGGCUAGCGUUGUUCGGAAUUACUGGGCGUAAAGCGCACGUAGGCGGAUAUUUAAGUCAGGGGUGAAAUCCCAGAGCUCAACUCUGGAACUGCCUUUGAUACUGGGUAUCUUGAGUAUGGAAGAGGUAAGUGGAAUUCCGAGUGUAGAGGUGAAAUUCGUAGAUAUUCGGAGGAACACCAGUGGCGAAGGCGGCUUACUGGUCCAUUACUGACGCUGAGGUGCGAAAGCGUGGGGAGCAAACAGGAUUAGAAACCCUAGUAGUCC
rnacentral:rRNA from 1 species